CAUUGUAAAGUGGAGAACUUUGCAAAUCAGAUUCAUCAGCAAUAAUUCAGCUGAGUUUAUGAAAACUCACCGUUAUUUGAAAGGGUUGUGCCAGUGACACAUUUAAAGCUUGUAAUAUCUUGUAAGCUGAUGAAAAGUUUUAAUUAGUGACUGUGACAUAACCUUAGCUUGGGACGCAUAAUAACAAUAUUCUGUAUCAUGUCAUGCGACCUAACUACCACAGAAGGAAAGAACAUCGUUCCCGCUUGUUAUGAACUCUUGGAUGAUUAUGGUUGGACUCUGCAACAUCCUAAAAGUGUGGAAAGACUGAAGUACUUGAUCAACUUUUGUAAAAAAUGUCCUCCAAAAUUUACAGCUGCGGCAUUUUAUGAGAUACAAAGAAGCACUCUCUUUGGCAUUACGAUUAUUGCCUUGAAUUAUUUUAUUGUGAUUUUACAAAUUGAUAGUGAAGCUUUGUAAUAUGAGUUUUAUUAAAAUGUAAUUUGAUGUGUAUUUAUAAUAGUGAUAAA
rnacentral:lncRNA from 1 species